GAUGAACGCUAGCGGCAGGCCUAAUACAUGCAAGUCGAACGAUACCAGAGAGCUUGCUUUCUGGGAAAGUGGCGCACGGGUGCGUAACGCGUAUGCAAACUACCUUAAUCAGGGGGAUAGCCUCUCGAAAGAGAGAUUAACACCGCAUAACAUCAUUUUACGGCAUCGUAGAAUGAUCAAAUAUUUAUCAGAUUAAGAUGGGCAUGCGUGACAUUAGCUAGUUGGUGAGGUAACGACUCACCAAGGCUACGAUGUCUAGGGGAGCUGGGCCGACGAGCCACCACACUGGUAAUGAGACACGGAGCAGACUCCUUGGGGAGGGAGCAGUAAGGAAUAUGGGUCAAUGGAAGCAACUCUGAACCAGCCAUGCCGCGUGCGGGAAGACGGCCCUAUGGGUUGUAAACUGCUUUUAUACGGGAAUAAUCCUCUCUACGUGUAGGGAGUUGAAUGUACUGUAAGAAUAGGGAUCGGCUAACUCCGUGCCAGCAGCCGCAGUAA
rnacentral:rRNA from 1 species